rnacentral:rRNA from 1 species
AGUGAACGUUGGCGGCAGGCCUAACACAUGCAAGUCGAACGGCAGCACAGAGGAGCUUGCUCCUUGGGUGGCGAGGGGCGGACGGGUGAGGAAUACAUCGGAAUCUGCCUAUUUGUGGGGGAUAACGUAGGGAAACUUACGCUAAUACCGCAUACGACCUACGGGUGAAAGCGGAGGACCUUCGGGCUUCGCGCAGAUAGAGGAGCCGAUGUCGGAUUAGCUAGUUGGCGGGGUAAAGGCCCACCAAGGCGCCGAUCCGGAGCUGGUCUGAGGGGAUGAUCAGCCAAACUGGAACUGAGACACGGUCCAGACUCCUACGGGAGGCAGCAGGGGGGAAUAUUGGAAAAUGGGCGCAAGCCUGAUCCAGCCAUGCCGCGUGGUGAAGAAGGCCUUCGGGUUGUAAAGCCCUUUUGUUGGGAAAGAAAAGCAGUCGGUUAAUACCCGAUUGUUCUGACGGUACCCAAAGAAUAAGCACCGGCUAACUUCGUGCCAGCCGCCGCCGUAAGAC